rnacentral:rRNA from 1 species
AGGGUGCAGGGCGGAUGCCUUGGCACUAGGAGCCGAUGAAGGACGUGAUAAGCUGCGAUAAGCUUCGGGGAGUUGCACGUAAACUUUGAUCCGAAGAUUUCCGAAUGAGGAAACUCACUUAGAGUAAUGUCUAAGUAUCAUUAAGUGAAUACAUAGCUUAAUGAGGGGAACUCAGGGAACUGAAACAUCUAAGUACCUGAAGGAAGAGAAAGAAAUUCGAUUCCGUAAGUAGCGGCGAGCGAACGCGGAUUAGCCCAAACCAAUAAAGUUUUCUUUAUUGGGGUUGCGGACAUAUCAUAACGAAGAGGUAUCGUAAUUGAAGAGGUUUGGAAAGACCCACCACAGAAGGUAAUAGUCCUGUAUGUUAAACGAGAAGACUUCAGAUAUGAUCCAGAGUACCACGGGACACGUGAAACCCUGUGGGAAGCAGGAGGGACCACCCUCCAAGGCUAAAUACUACCUAGUGACCGAUAGCGUAUAGUACCGUGAGGGAAAGGUGAAAAGAACCCCGGGAGGGGAGUGAAAUAGAACCUGAAACCCUGCACUUACAAGCUGUGGAAGCACAUUUCUUGUGUGACCGCGUACUUUUUGUAGAACGGGCCAACGAGUUACGUUAAGUAGCAAGGUUAAGCACUUAAGGUGCGGAGCCGUAGCGAAAGCGAGUUUUAACUGAGCGUUCAGUUACUUGACGUAGACCCGAAACCGGGCGACCUACCCAUGAGCAGGAUGAAGCGAAAGUAAAAUUUCGUGGAGGUCCGAACCCACGAGCGUUGAAAAGCUCGGGGAUGACUUGUGGGUAGCGGUGAAAUUCCAAUCGAGCCCGGAGAUAGCUGGUUCUCCCCGAAAUAGCUUUAGGGCUAGCCUCAAGGUGAGAGAUACGGAGGUAGAGCACUGAAUGUCCUAGGGGGUAUUGCACCUACCGAAGACUAUCAAACUCCGAAUGCCGUCAUCUUAUACUUGGGAGUCAGACUGUGGGUGAUAAGAUUCAUAGUCGAAAGGGCAACAGCCCAGAUCGUCAGCUAAGGUCCCUAAAUGUAAGUUAAGUGGUAAAGGAUGUGGGAUUGCACAGACAACCAGGAUGUUGGCUUAGAAGCAGCCACUCAUUCAAAGAGUGCGUAAUAGCUCACUGGUCGAGUGAUCCUGCGCCGAAGAUUUCCGGGGCUAAAACUUACUACCGAAGCUACGGCAUCAGUAAUGAUGGGUAGGGGAGCUUCCCAUACGGGUUGAAGCAUGACCGUAAGGACAUGUGGACAGUAUGGGAGUGAGAAUGUUGGCAUGAGUAGCGAGAUGUGGGUGAGAAUCCCACAGGCCGUAAACCCAAGGUUUCCAGGGGAAGGUUCGUCCGCCCUGGGUUAGUCGGGACCUAAGCUGAGGCCGAAAGGCGUAGGUGAUGGACAACAGGUUGAUAUUCCUGUACUACCGAUAACCGUUUGAGAGAAGGGAUGACACAGUAGGAUAAGCUAAGCACACUGUUGGUUAUGUGUGCCCAAGCAUUGAGGCAGUCAAAGUAGGCAAAUCCGCUUUGAUAAUGCUGGGAUGUGAUGGGGAGCGAAAUUUAGUAGCGAAGUAGCUGAUUUCACACUGUCAAGAAAAGUCUCUAUCGAGGUUAAAGGUACCCGUACCGCAAACCGACACAGGUGGGUGAGGAGAGUAUCCUAAGGCCAGCGAGAGAACUGUUGUUAAGGAACUCGGCAAAAUGACCCCGUAACUUAGGGAUAAGGGGUGCCACCAUCAGGUGGCCGCAGAGAAUAGGCCCAAGCGACUGUUUACCAAAAACAUAGGUUUCUGCUAAGUCGCAAGACGAUGUAUAGGAGCUGACGCCUGCCCGGUGCUGGAAGGUUAAGGGGAUCUGUUAGAGCAAUCGAAGCAGUGAACUUAAGCCCCAGUAAACGGCGGCCGUAACUAUAACGGUCCUAAGGUAGCGAAAUUCCUUGUCGGGUAAGUUCCGACCCGCACGAAAGGCGUAACGAUUUGGGCACUGUCUCAACAACAGACUCGGUGAAAUUGUAAUUCCGGUGAAGAUGCCGGAUACCUGCGACAGGACGGAAAGACCCCAUGGAGCUUUACUGUAGCUUGACAUUGGGUCUUGGUACUACAUGUACAGGAUAGGUGGGAGGCUUUGAAACCAGGACGCCAGUUUUGGCGGAGCCAUCCUUGGGAUACCACCCUUGUAGUACUGGGACUCUAACCAUAGGCCAUGAAUCUGGUCUUGGGACACUG